rnacentral:misc_RNA from 1 species
AUGAAAUGUCAAAGACCUACUUUUGGUAUGGAGAGUAUAAAGAUGGACCUACCUACCAUGCACACAAGAAAGGAGCAGCAAGGGUAAGUUAGUAUUUAAGUUAUCUUACCAUCAAUUGUAGCCAGACAUUUAUGUCCGUAUUCCUCCAUGGAAUAUUUUGUAUAGUUUGCAUCUCCAAUUUCACUUCAUUUUUGCAUAUGCUGGGACGAUGUAGCUAAUGCUAGUAAAUAACAUCGCUUAUGCGAUUCACUAUUAUGAAGCUAAAACGCGGGAGGAAAUUGCGUUUGUACCAACUCAUUAAAAUCCUUAGUCCUAAACCGCUUCUUAUCUUUAUAUGGACUCUGUUUAUCAACCUAAUGUUGGAUUCCUUUCAUUGAUAUUCCCUUACAUAAGUUUCGAUUUUUUUAGUGAGUAGUGACUCAUA